GGAGAGAUGCCAGAGUGGCCGAAUGGGCUUGAUUGCUAAUCAAGUGACCUGGAAACGGGUCCCGGGGUUCGAAUCCCCGUCUCUCCGCCA
rnacentral:tRNA from 1 species